rnacentral:lncRNA from 1 species
AGUGUUACAAUCUCUAUGAAUCCUCUGAUUCGCCUUUUCAAAUAUAAAUUCAAGGGCCUAAAGCUUAAUCUUGAAUUUGAACUUGAUUUGCGGACUUGAGGGACUUGAUCUUGACUUGUUCUUGAAUUCAAGAGCUUUUGAGCUUGUUCUUGAAUAUUGUGGUCUUGAUCUUGAAUUUUGAUGAACUUGAUUUGAAUUCUUGAGCUUUUUAGAGAAAUUGCGGCG